AUAAAAACCAAAAGUGAGUAAGUUAUUACCCGCUUGACAGAGAGCUUACACUCGGUGAAAGUAAGCAAGUAGGGUUAACUGAACAUGGCUUUUGACAUAGGUUUAAUGGUUGAGCAAAAAGCAAGACCAUUACGGGGACACCGUUAUCAAGAGGAGUUCUUAACUCUAGAGGGGGAAUUAUAUCCAAACAAGGUGGUAACGCGGCACUGUCGUCCUUAAU
rnacentral:ncRNA from 1 species